CUUCACUUCAAUGGCAUAUAAAAGAACUGAACACGUUUUCUUGUUAAUCUUGAUUUUUCAGAAGAAAAAGAGGAAAGUAAGCCGUACAGCUGUGGGAUAUGAUGCUCGGGCACAAUUGAAGGCCCAACUUGCUGCUCUGGGAAGAACUUCACCGAAAGAUACAUGUACAGAAAUGGAAUCCCUGAAGAAGGAAGUCCUCCAGUUGAGAGAGGAAAACAAAUCCCUUCGAGAUGCAUUGAGGGUUGUUGAAGGACUUCCUGGCCUGCUAAUGAAGAUGGACGACUUAUCACGUCAGGCAACAAUACUAUCAGCUCGACGUCCUGCUGUCGCUCUGCCAGAGAGGAGCUGGCCAACAGCAGCUUGACAGGAAAAAAAUCCAAUGCUUUUAAGGAUAAGCAUGAGAAACCAAAACUGGAUGACAAGAAAGUGUCUGCUAUUAUUGAUUUUGUGAAGAAGCUCCAUCCCUCAAGUGAAGCAAAUGUGAUAAAGAAAAUCAUUGGAGUGAAACUGAACAUUGCGCAGAAAAUGGGAAAAAAAGAAGGCCUCAGAAACAAAUUCUGCUGGACGUCUAGCCGUCUCUAACAGUCGGGGAA